rnacentral:rRNA from 1 species
AUGUGCUUUUCCAGAGAUCAGCUAAUGGGGUCAGCAUUCGUUGCAUCUGGGAUCGUGUUAUUUGUGGGUUUCUUCUACGCUGCCGGUGUGUCCAAGCUGCUUCCACCAUAUGAGAACCGACUUCUGUACGCUAUCCAAAAUGAUAGGUAUUACUGCCUACUUGUGCCCUUGACACUUCCUUUGGUAAUUGUGGCUGUCUAUCUGCAUUGGCUAAGUAUGAAGAUGUUUAAGCAUGCCAGAAGAACCACACAACAGUUUUAUGGAAGAAGCUCGCAAUGUUGCGCGAAUGGUAGAAUCCAUGGGGAUCAUGAAGACAAUUACACUGUUGUAAAAGUUUGUAGUCUGUGA